GCCAGGCGUGGUGGCGAGCGCCUGUAAUUCCAGCUACUUGGGAGGCUGGGGCAGGAGAAUCGCUUGAGCCCAGGAGGAAAGGGUUGCAGUGAGCCAAGAUAGCACCACUACACUCCAGCCUGGGUGACAGAGCGAGACUCUGUCUCAA
rnacentral:SRP_RNA from 2 species